rnacentral:tRNA from 1 species
GGAGAUAUAGCUCCACUGGUAGAGUGCCAGCCUAGGAAGCUUGAAAGCCCUGAGUUCAAACUCCAGUACCACCC